UACGUAGGUGGCAAGCGUUGUCCGGAUUUACUGGGCGUAAAGAGCGCGCAGGCGGUCGAAUAAGUCGAAUGUGAAAGCCCCCGGCUUAACUGGGGAGGGUCAUUCGAUACUGCUCGACUUGAAGGCAGGAGAGGGUAGUGGAAUUCCCGGUGUAGCGGUGAAAUGCGUAGAGAUCGGGAGGAACACCAGAGGCGAAGGCGGCGACCUGGACAGGCACUGACACUCAACUACGAAAGCGUGGGGAGCAAACAGG
rnacentral:rRNA from 1 species